CAAAAUAAAGCUUAAUUAUAAAGCAUCUCGUUUACGUUGAGAAGAUUUACUGUGAAAAUCAGUUUAUUUUGA
rnacentral:tRNA from 1 species